UUAAAGAAAAAAGAAAAUCUAUCAAGCUUCUUGAGUUUUUUUAACAUUCUUGUUACAUUACUGAGAUUCAAGAUAAGGUUGCAACAGAAAUUGAAAAAACAACAAAAAUGAGAAACAAUGUCACAAAUGUUGUAGAAUUUGAAAACGGUGUGAGUGAAGAAAGCUUAGAAAAGAUGCAGAAUCUUCAUGCAGAUUUCAACGGAACCAUCAUGCAGUUCCAGUGGUAUGCUAUCUCAGAUAUUUAGCAAUUUCUCAUAACUUACAGGAGAGUCAGAGGCUCAUAUCGUAACAGGGUGAUGAUGUAUCUGUUAGUUAUGAUGUGAAGAAAGGAGAUUACCAUACCUUAUGAGCCCAUAUGCAAUAGGGAUGGUCAAGUUUGAUGCAUUCGAACCCCGAAAGAUGGUUUCAUCACAUUGUUGCUUUCAUCCACAAAGCAUCUUUAAGUUUACAGCUUUGCAGUCAACCUUCAAGUUAUGUUAUAUGACCAAAGCAAAAUUUUUGACAAGAAUUUGUUUGGCUCAAGAAUUUGCGUAUGUGCAGAUGAAGGAAGAUCUUUGCUUCUAUAUAGUUAAGUUAUUUCAUUUUCAGGGUGAAUGAAAACAAAAGUGCAAAUGCUUAAUCUUCACAUUGAUGGUGAUACAGAGUUGAUCCAUGAUCUAGCAUACUCGUAUUUGGUGCAGUUAGACACACGGAAGUGGAUUGGAAAAUGGUUCAUGCUAAAAAAGGAUUAACUUUCAGUACGUUUGAAGUUAUAUGGGGGAUAAGUAUUGGACAUAAACGUCUCAACGAGCCACACGCAUGGACAAAUGCUAUAGGCGGGUUUUCCCAAAUCUCGGCACCCAAUUUCGCCAUCUAGAGCUCCAAUUUUGAAGCAAGGUUGUUAAUUUCAAGGAACCCUUGGAGCGGUUACAAGUUGCGUCUGAUGGCACUUGGCGUUCAUGGGCUAAGUUACGCACCUCUGAUUGGAACUUAUAACCAAUGAAGAUUUAAUCGAAAUUGCCUCUAAUGGCAAGUUACCAUCUGAUGAAGAUUCAAAGAACUAACCACUGAAGCAAGUUACCUCUAGUGAAGAUUGAUGAAGUCUCGCUAAUGAAGAAGAGAUGCCACAUAUUAGCCUAUCAUUUGACGAAGACAAUCUGUUGAGAGGAUGUUAUACGUAAUUGUCACUUGUCAAUUCCGUACAUCUCAACAAGAUAACAAAAACAUGAGUCCUCAUUGAAUGUAUUGUCACUUGACCCCAUAGCUUAUUGUGUCAAGUAGUUGAGAGUGAAUUCGGUGCUGAACUUAUGUGUGCAAACUUCAGAGGAAAUUUGCAAGUCACAUAACCUUGCAUAGCUAGAAAAUCGUCUUGAAUUUCAAUUGUGAUUUGUGACUAGGUUUAGAUUAUGUAUUGAUACAAUUCGAUUUUAAUUACCCGAGUUCAAAGGGUCAUGCACAGUAAUGUUAUGACGCCGAGAUCUAUGGAUGUAGUUUUUAAAAGACAUAGUUUUGCUAUUCAAAAAGGGGUGGCGGUGCAGCUUGUUGCCCGUUUAUCUUCUA